rnacentral:RNase_P_RNA from 14 species
GAAGCCUGCCAGACCGCCGCUGGUGCAAUCUGGGAAACCAGGCACUGGAGGAACGUCCGGACUGCACAGGACAGCGUAGGAGGUAAUACCUCUCCACCGUGAGGUGAGGAUCAGAGCAACAGAGACGAGUCGCUUUUGGGUAACUCAAAAGCGGGUGAAACGGGCAAUCUCUACGCGCAGCAAUACCAAGUAGGCCAGCGUUGAUGUAGCUCCGCAGAGCUGGCGGGUAGGUAGCACCGAGCCGGGUGGGCGACCCCCGGCCCAGAUUAAUGGCGGUCACACCGGGUUUGCCGCAAGGCACAUCCGGCGCACAGAAUCCGGCUUAUCGGCGGGCUUCACAC